UCGAGAAUUUUUGGCAAUGGGGGAAACCCUGACCAAGCGAUGCCGCGUGCGGGAUGAAGGCCUUCGGGUUGUAAACCGCUGUCAGUGGGGAGAAAAGGACCGGUGUACCCGGUUUUGAUCUAUCCGCAGAGGAAGUGUGGGCUAAGCUCGUGCCAGCAGCCGCGGUAAGACGAGCCACACGAACGUUAUUCGGAAUUACUGGGCUUAAAGGGUGCGUAGGCUGCGCGGAAAGUUGGGUGUGAAAUCCCUCGGCUCAACCGAGGAACUGCGCCCAAAAACUGCCGUGCUCGAGGAAGAUAGAGGUAAGCGGAACUUACGGUGGAGCGGUGAAAUGCGUUGAUAUCGUAAGGAACACCUGUGGCGAAAGCGGCUUACUGGGUCUUUUCUGACGCUGAUGCACGAAAGCUAGGGGAGCAAACGGGAUUAGAUACCCCGGUAGUCCUAGCCGUAAACUCUCAGCACUGAAUUGAAGGGCCUCCCAUAGCCCUUCAGUUGAAGCGAAAGUGUUAA
rnacentral:rRNA from 1 species